rnacentral:rRNA from 1 species
AGCGAACGCUGGCGGCAGGCUUAACACAUGCAAGUCGAGCGGGCAUCUUCGGGUGUCAGCGACGGACGGGUGAGUAACGCGUGGGAACGUGCCUUCUGGUUCGGAAUAACUCAGGGAAACUUGAGCUAAUACCGGAUACGCCCUUUUUGGGGAAAGGUUUACCGCCGGAAGAUCGGCCCGCGUCUGAUUAGCUAGUUGGUGGGGUAACGGCCUACCAAGGCGACGAUCAGUAGCUGGUCUGAGAGGAUGAUCAGCCACACUGGGACUGAGACACGGCCCAGACUCCUACGGGAGGCAGCAGUGGGGAAUAUUGGACAAUGGGCGCAAGCCUGAUCCAGCCAUGCCGCGUGAGUGAUGAAGGCCUUAGGGUUGUAAAGCUCUUUUAUCCGGGACGAUAAUGACGGUACCGGAGGAAUAAGCCCCGGCUAACUUCGUGCCAGCCGCCGCGGUAA